rnacentral:rRNA from 1 species
CAGCCGCGGUAAUACAGAGGGGGCAAGCGUUGUUCGGAAUUACUGGGCGUAAAGGGCGCGUAGGCGGCCUGUUAAGUCGAACGUGAAAUCCCCGGGCUCAACCCGGGAACUGCGUCCGAUACUGGCAGGCUUGAAUCCGGGAGAGGGAUGCGGAAUUCCAGGUGUAGCGGUGAAAUGCGUAGAUAUCUGGAGGAACACCGGUGGCGAAGGCGGCAUCCUGGACCGGCAUUGACGCUGAGGCGCGAAAGCCAGGGGAGCAAACGGGAUUAGAUACCCCGGUAGUCCUGGCCCUAAACGAUGAAUGCUUGGUGUGGCGGGUAUCGAUCCCUGCCGUGCCGAAGCUAACGCAUUAA